GCAGGUACCGUCAGGACCGCAUCAUUACCUAUGCGGCCGUUUCUUUCCUGCUGACAGGGUUUUACACUCCAAAGAGCUUCGUCACCCACGCGGCGUUGCUGCGUCAGGCUUUCGCCCAUUGCGCAAUAUUCCC
rnacentral:rRNA from 1 species